GGGAGAACUACUUAAUGCGCAAAAGAAAGAGGGUGAGAGACUGUACAUAAUUAGAGAAAAUUAGAGCAAGUUUAUGGUAAUGUCAUCUAUUAGGGCAAGAAAGAUUCUCAAAUCCCUGAAAACUAUGAAAUUUAAUGAGAUACAAGGAAUAACCAACCCUGAACCUAAGAAAAAACAAAGAAAAAAAAAGCAAGCUGUCUGCAAUAAUUAAUAGACAAUAAAGCACAUAACUACAGGACAUGCCACCCAACCCAAGUUCCAUUUUACACUUUAGGCUUUAAGCUGCAAGAGCUUGAACUGGGGCCUGGAGGCUACAUCUAAAUUUAUGUGCCCAUUGACUCUCCCCCAAGAAUAUCCCUUUCUUCCUUUAUAACUGCACCAAGUAUACGCUUGUGGUGAUAAGCACAAGAUCAAAUAAUCAUACAUCAACAAUAACUGUAAAUCAGAUGAUCAACGCUGCAAUCUUG
rnacentral:misc_RNA from 1 species